rnacentral:tRNA from 2 species
GGUAAGAUGGCUGAGGUUCAGGCGGUGGAUUGUAGCCCCACAGACAGAGGUUCAAGUCCUCUUCUUAUCA